rnacentral:lncRNA from 1 species
AUUUGGUCACGGAGAGGUGAGGUUUUCCUCUUAGUCCAAUUCCAAGAAGUCAGCAGGGGUUGGCCUUAGGUUCCCUGUCUCCAGACUCUAUUCUCCUGCCUCAUUUGGACCCCUACAAUCUAAUUGUGAAUGUAAAAGGGAUCUACGGAAGUUUGAACUUGAGAGUGAUGACCUAGGGUAUCUGGCAGAAGAAAUGCCUAAAUAACAAAGCAUUCAAGAUAUGGCCUGGCUGCUUGUAACCACCUAUGCUAAGAUGUGGGAGCAAAGAAAUGACUUAAAGCUGGAACUUAUAUGUAAAAGUGAGUUCUUAUGAGAUCUGGACAUUUAAACGUGUGUACCAUCUCCCUCCUCACUCUCUUGCUCCUGCUUUCACCAUGUGAUGUGCCUGCUCCCAUUUUGCCUUCCACCAUGAUUGGAAACUUCCUGAGGCCUGCUCAAAAGCAGAUGCCACUAUGCUUCCCGUACAGCCUGCAGAACUGGAUCCUGAAAAGGAGGGAACAAUUGUUGUAGCAGGUCUAAAAGUUCAGGUCCAGGAAAUGGAAACAUUGCUUUGCUUUUCCUGAAUUGUCCAGUGACCUAUCCCAGGCCU